rnacentral:misc_RNA from 1 species
GUACCCUCAAGCUUUGCUUGGUGAUGGGUGUUUGUUCCGCUGCAACGCGUGAACUCGCCUCAAAUCAAUUGGCAGCCGGCAAUCUGGUGUUGGAGCGCAGCACAUUUUGCGCUCUUCGCUGUGGAUUGCGGGCGUCCAUGAAGCCUAUAUUUUCGC